rnacentral:sRNA from 1 species
GCCAGGUGCGGUGGCACACACCUGUAAUCCCAGCAGCUUGGGAGGCUGAGACAGGAGAAUCGUUCAAAGCCAGCCUCAGCAAAUGCAAAGCACUGAGCAACUCUCUGAGACCCUGUCUCUA